UUAAAGUUUUAUUCUUGCUUAUUUAUUCACUUUUUCUUUGAGUUAUAUGUUAGUUUUGUUUUAACUAAAUGUUCCUAUUGCAGUAAUUUGAUUUAAUUUAUCAAGUAAUUUUGGAAUUAGCAAUUGUCUUAGUUUUGGCAUAAUUCGUGCCAGCAGCCGCGGUUAUACGAUUAAUGCAAGUGAAUAUUUUUGGUUUAACAGUUAUUUAUAUUUUAGGGUUUAAAUUUGGAUUUAUAAGGUGAAAUUUUAAAUUUUUAAAUAGCUCUUAUUAUGAAUCUGUGAAACUUAAAUUAGAAACUAGGAUUAGAUACCCUAUUAUUUUAAGUGUAAAUAUUAUUUGCCUGGGUACUAUUAGUUAAGAUCUUAAAACCCAAAGAAUUUGGCGGUACUCCAUUCCAUUCAGAGGAACCUACCCCGUGAUUGAUAGUACACGAUUAACUUUACUUAAUUUAUUUGUUUGUAUAUCUCCGUUAUCAGAAAAUCUUUUUAGAGUUAUAAUUUUCAGAAUUCAUGAUUUUGAAGUAUUUCAGGUCAAGGUGCAGCUUAUAAUUAAGAGGAGGUGGGUUACAAUAAAUUUUGGUUUAUUACGGUUUCAAUAAUUAAAUAUUAUAGAUUAAGGUGGAUUUGAUAGUAAUUUGAUUUAUUUAAGUCUUUUGAUAUUGGUUCUGGAGUGUGUACACAUCGCCCGUCACUCUCAUUAUUGAUUAAUUAACUUAUUUUUAUUAUAGUACAUGAUCAAACUAAAUGAGAUAAGUCGUAACAUAGUAGAUGUACUGGAAAGUGUAUCUGGAAAGUUAAAU
rnacentral:ncRNA from 1 species